AUUAGGAAUCUUGCACAAUGGGCGAAAGCCUGAUGCAGCGACGCCGCGUGGAGGACGAAGUCUUUCGGGAUGUAAACUCCUUUUGUCAGGGAAGAAACACAUGACGGUACCUGACGAAUAAGCUCCGGCUAACUACGUGCCAGCAGCCGCGGUAAUACGUAGGGAGCGAGCGUUGUCCGAAGUUACUGGGCGUAAAGCGCGCGUAGGCGGGCUGUUUAGUCGGAAGUGAAAGGCUGGGGCUCAACCCCAGCAGUGCUUCCGAUACUGGCAGUCUUGAGGGCGGUAGGGAGAAGUGGAAUGACUGGUGUAGCGGUGAAAUGCGUAGAUAUCAGUCAGAACACCGGUGGCGAAGGCGGCUUCUUGGGCCGUUCCUGACGCUGAGGCGCGAAAGCCAGGGGAGCGAACGGGAUUAGAAACCCUUGUAGUCC
rnacentral:rRNA from 1 species